UAUUAGAAAAUAAUUUAUAUUUCACCAAAGAUCCAUCCUGCAGUGUUAUCUUGCUUUGUCAGUAUUGGUUAUGUAUAUGUGUUUAUUUAUAUAUGUUUAUUUUCUGUAUUUAUAUUUUGGGAGCUUUUAUUUUGUUUGUGUGACCUUUGACUUCCCGCGAAGUCACUUCCUGUAGCUGCGCGCUAUUUUCCUCAGUCGCCUAGAGGCCCCGCUGAGGAGAGGUGUUCAUGCAGAAGUCCAGUAGUGAAGUGAAGUCGCUGUACUGUUUUGUUUUUAUUUUAAACAGUUCUGGGAGAAUAAAUCCAUCCAGCUGGCAAAGUGA